GAACUUUCACUUCAGUAGCACAUAUAAUAAAAUUGGAACAAUAUAGAAGUUAGCAUGGUACCUGCACAAGGAUGACAUGCAAAUUCAUGAAGCAUUCUGUAUUUUU